CGCGGCCUAUCAGCUUGUUGGUGAGGUAACGGCUCACCAAGGCAACGACGGGUAGCUGUUCUGAGAGGAAGAUCAGCAACACUGGAACUGAGACACGGUCCAGACACCUACGGGUGGCAGCAGUCGAGAAUCAUUCACAAUGGGGGCAACCCUGAUGGUGCAACGCCGCGUGGAGGAUGAAGGCCCUAGGGUCGUAAACUCCUGUCAUAUGAGAGUAAGGCAUAGAGGGAAUAAUACCCUUUUAUGUUUGAUAGUAUCAUAAGAGGAAGGGACGGCUAACUUCGUGCCAGCAGCCGCGGUAAUACGAAGGUCCCGAGCGUUAUUCGGAAUCACUGGGCGUAAAGAGUACGUAGGCGGUUUGGUAAGUCAGGUGUGAAAUCCCGGGGCUCAACCCCGGAACUGCACCCGAUACUGCCAGACUGGAGUAAUGGAGAGGCAGGUGGAAUUCUCGGUGUAGCAGUGAAAUGCGUGGAUAUCGAGAGGAAGACCAAUGGCGAAGGCAGCCUGCUGGACAUUUACUGACGCUGAGGUACGAAGGCCAGGGUAGCGAAAGGGAUUAGAUACCCCUGUAGUCCUGGCAGUAAACGGUGCGCGCUUGGUGUGGGAGGAUUCGACCCCUUCCGUGCCGGAGCUAGCGCGUUAAGCGCCCCGCCUGGGGAGUACGG
rnacentral:rRNA from 1 species